rnacentral:rRNA from 1 species
CCUACGGGGGGCUGCAGUAAGGAAUAUUGGUCAAUGGACGAAAGUCUGAACCAGCCAUGCCGCGUGAAGGAUGAAGGUCCUCUGGAUUGUAAACUUCUUUUAUCUGGGACGAAAAAAGGGAAUUCUUUCUCACUUGACGGUACCAGAAGAAUAAGCACCGGCUAACUCCGUGCCAGCAGCCGCGGUAAUACGGAGGGUGCAGGCGUUAUCCGGAUUCACUGGGUCGAAAGUGUGCGGUUGAGGCCGGUUAGAAAUAUCCGGGCUUAACCCGGAAACUGCCAUUGAUACUAUCUGUCUUGAAUACUCUGGAGGUAAGCGGAAUAUGUCAUGUAGCGGUGAAAUGCUUAGAUAUGACAUAGAACACCGAUUGCGAAGGCAGCUUACUACGGAGUCAUUGACACUGAGGCACGAAAGCGUGGGGAUCAAACAGGAUUAGAUACCCCUGUAGUC